CUCUGUGACUCCUACGGGAGGCAGCAGUGGGGAAUAUUGCACAAGUGGGGGAAACCCUGAUGCAGCCAUGCCGCGUGUGUGAAGAAGGCCUUCGGGUUGUAAAGCACUUUCAGUAGGGAGGAAGGUAGUGUAGUUAACACCUGCAUUAUUUGACGUUACCUACAGAAGAAGCACCGGCUAACUCCGUGCCAGCAGCCGCGGUAAUACGGAGGGUGCGAGCGUUAAUCGGAAUUACGUGGGACGUAAAGCGCAUGCAGGCGGCCUGUUAAGUCAGAUGUAGAAAGCCCCGGGGCUUAACCUCGGAAUUGCAUUUGAAACUGGCAGGCUAGAGUCUUGUAGAGGGGGUAGAAUUUCAGGUGUAGCGGUGAAAUGCGUAGAGAUCUGAAGGAAUACCAGUGGCGAAGGCGGCCCCCUGGACAAAGACUGACGCUCAGAUGCGAAAGCGUGGGGAGCAAACAGGAUUAGAUACCCUGGUAG
rnacentral:rRNA from 1 species